rnacentral:rRNA from 1 species
UCCGGUGACCAUAGCAAAGGGGAUAUACCCGUUCCCAUCCCGAACACGGAAGUGAAGUCCUUUAGCGCCGAUGGUACUUGAGUUUACCUCUGGGAGAGUAGGCCGUUGCCGGA